UACAGAGGGUGCGAGCGUUAAUCGGAAUUACUGGGCGUAAAGCGUGCGUAGACGGUAGCGUAAGUCAGAUGUGAAAGCCCCGGGCUCAACCUGGGAAUGGCAUUGGAAACUGGCUCGCUGGAGUGUGGCAGAGGGGGGUGGAAUUCCGCGUGUAGCAGUGAAAUGCGUAGAGAUGCGGAGGAACACCGAUGGCGAAGGCAGCCCCCUGGGCUAACACUGACGCUCAGGCACGAAAGCGUGGGGAGCAAACAGG
rnacentral:rRNA from 1 species